rnacentral:rRNA from 1 species
GGUGAGUAACACGUGGGUAACCUGCCCAUAAGACUGGGAUAACUCCGGGAAACCGGGGCUAAUACCGGAUAACAUUUUGAACCGCAUGGUUCGAAAUUGAAAGGCGGCUUCGGCUGUCACUUAUGGAUGGACCCGCGUCGCAUUAGCUAGUUGGUGAGGUAACGGCUCACCAAGGCAACGAUGCGUAGCCGACCUGAGAGGGUGAUCGGCCACACUGGGACUGAGACACGGCCCAGACUCCUACGGGAGGCAGCAGUAGGGAAUCUUCCGCAAUGGACGAAAGUCUGACGGAGCAACGCCGCGUGAGUGAUGAAGGCUUUCGGGUCGUAAAACUCUGUUGUUAGGGAAGAACAAGUGCUAGUUGAAUAAGCUGGCACCUUGACGGUCCUAACCAGAAAGCCACGGCUAACUACGUGCCAGCAGCCGCGGUAAUACGUAGGUGGCAAGCGUUAUCCGGAAUUAUUGGGCGUAAAG